rnacentral:rRNA from 1 species
CCUACGGGAGGCAGCAGUGGGGAAUAUUGCACAAUGGAGGAAACUCUGAUGCAGCGACGCCGCGUGAGUGAAGAAGUAAUUCGUUUAUGUAAAGCUCUAUCAGCAGGGAAGAUAGUGACGGUACCUGACUAAGAAGCUCCGGCUAAAUACGUGCCAGCAU